rnacentral:lncRNA from 1 species
CCGAUAAUAUCGGCGAAAUAUUGUCGAUAUUAUCGGUUUUUCGGGUGAUGGAUAUUCUAAGUGGUAUCCGAAUGGUUUUCGGCCAAAUAUCGUGAUAAUAUCGAUAAUAUCGCGAUAUUACCGAUAUUAUCGUAAAAGUUUGGACGGAGAAGAAGGCCGGAGGUUCUACAGCCUCGCCGGAGAUGGGUGUGACUAUUCCCGAGCCGAUUUCAUCCCAAAAACCUUGCAAAAACACGAGAUAGAACUUCAAUUUCACAUCUAAGCUUCAAUCUAGAACAGAUUCAACAGAAAAAGGUAAAUCCGAAGCUUACCUAACCGGAGAAAUUCAACAGAAAAAGGUAAAUCUGAAGCUUCGAUCUGAUGAUGUGUGAUGAUGGUGGUGUCCUCGAUCUGCUCGAGUCGAGCAGAUGGUGCUGCUGCGUGUGUGUGUGGUCACGGCAAGAGAGGGAGAGAGGUAAGAAGGUUUCGAGAGAGAGAGACAGUGCAGAGAAGAGAAGAGAGUGAGAGAAAGAAAUAAUAGAAAAGAAAAAGGAAGAGACAGAUGCUCUUUCGGGCAAGAAUGGGACAGGAUAAAGAAAAGGAAAAGUGGGUAAUCGGGCAAACUGUAAAAACAAGGAAAAUGGCCCAGAUUUUUUUUUAUAUUUUCCUUUUCUCCUUUUUAUUUAUUUUUUGUUGCUUUGAUCUAUUGAAAGCAAGAUGAAGAACGCAAAAUGUACAUAAGAAAAUAAAGGAAGAAAAGUAAAAUAUAUAUAUUAUAUAUAAUUAUAAUUAUUGUAAUUUGGGCACCAUUCCCAUCAAAACAAAACAAAAACAAAGCCCUUUCGGGCAACUCAAACAAAGGAAAUAACAACCUAUGUCGGGCAAGAACUAUGCCCAAGUCAGGCAAAAUACAAAGAUAAUAAAGAAAAAAGAAAAGAGCCUAACGCCUAACAAGGAAAAAGAGAAACCAUAGCCUAUUCGGGCAACUUAGAGGGUAUUUGGGCAAACUGCAAAAAAAAAUAUCAAGGGGAUUCAAACCCCUCCCUUUGUCAACCACACACCUAGACCGUAUCCAACUCGCUAUAGAUGUGUUUGUAAUUACAUAUUCAGCCUGUAAUAUUUAUAUGGUUGUUAAGAUGUCUGCAAGGCUUGCAAGCUAAUAUUUAUUAUCUAGGAUAAAUUUCUAUAUUUAAAAAAACACCAAGGGGAUUCGAACCCCUCCCAUUUUACUCCUUCAACACCUUGACCACCAUAUCACUUAUGUUUUUGUGAAAAUAUGCUAAAAUACACUUACUCUACACAUAGAGAUGACGAAGAUAGUGAAAAUUUUGAACCCCAUAGGAACUCUAUGUGGUACUAAGUCACCAUGUAUCUUACCAUGCAAUGUAUAAAGUGUCAAAAUAUUGUAUUAAUUCAUUAUAUAUAAAUGAUUAUAGUGUGUUUAAACUUCUUUCAUUAAUUACUACAUAUUUUCUACACUCACAAUGUUUGCCAGCUCGCUAUAUAAUCAACUUAAAUCAGUUAAAUUCAUCAUGCAAUGCAUUUCCUUCCAAUUUUGUGUGAUAAACUAAUAGAUAAUUGACUAAAUAAACAUCCUGCAAAGUUUCAAUAAAAAUUUCCAAGUUUUUCUUACAAUUUCCGUGGUUUCCAUAUAAUUUUUAUCGAUAUCGAUAUUAUCCCGAUAUUUCCAUUGAUAUUUCCGUGUUUUCGGACUACCGAUAUUUCCGAUAUUACCGAUAUUUUCUUCCUUGGUUUUAACUAAGAGAUUUCACAAAUUGAACCAGCUUAUGAAACCACUUGUCUCCAGCAAUCGGGGAUCACUAAAUGUCUGCUCAAGCUUCUU